rnacentral:rRNA from 1 species
AGAGUUUGAUCAUGGCUCAGAUUGAACGCUGGCGGCAGGCCUAACACAUGCAAGUCGAACGGUAACAGGAAGCAGCUUGCUGCUUCGCUGACGAGUGGCGGACGGGUGAGUAAUGUCUGGGAAGCUGCCUGAUGGAGGGGGAUAACUACUGGAAACGGUAGCUAAUACCGCAUAAUGUCGCAAGACCAAAGAGGGGGACCUUCGGGCCUCUUGCCAUCGGAUGUGCCCAGAUGGGAUCAGCUUGUUGGUGGGGUAACGGCUCACCAAGGCGACGAUCCCUAGCUGGUCUGAGAGGAUGACCAGCCACACUGGAACUGAGACACGGUCCAGACUCCUACGGGAGGCAGCAGUGGGGAAUAUUGCACAAUGGGCGCAAGCCUGAUGCAGCCAUGCCGCGUGUAUGAAGAAGGCCUUCGGGUUGUAAGUACUUUCAGCGGGGAGGAAGGGAGUAAAGUUAAUACCUUUGCUCAUUGACGUUACCCGCAGAAGAAGCACCGGCUAACUCCGUGCCAGCAGCCGCGGUAAUACGGAGGGUGCAAGCGUUAAUCGGAAUUACUGGGCGUAAAGCGCACGCAGGCGGUUUGUUAAGUCAGAUGUGAAAUCCCCGGGCUCAACCUGGGAACUGCAUCUGAUACUGGCAAGCUUGAGUCUCGUAGAGGGGGGUAGAAUUCCAGGUGUAGCGGUGAAAUGCGUAGAGAUCUGGAGGAAUACCGGUGGCGAAGGCGGCCCCCUGGACGAAGACUGACGCUCAGGUGCGAAAGCGUGGGGAGCAAACAGGAUUAGAUACCCUGGUAGUCCACGCCGUAAACGAUGUCGACUUGGAGGUUGUGCCCUUGAGGCGUGGCUUCCGGAGCUAACGCGUUAAGUCGACCGCCUGGGGAGUACGGCCGCAAGGUUAAAACUCAAAUGAAUUGGCGGGGGCCCGCACAAGCGGUGGAGCAUGUGGUUUAAUUCGAUGCAACGCGAAGAACCUUACCUGGUCUUGACAUCCACGGAAGUUUUCAGAGAUGAGAAUGUGCCUUCGGGAACCGUGAGACAGGUGCUGCAUGGCUGUCGUCAGCUCGUGUUGUGAAAUGUUGGGUUAAGUCCCGCAACGAGCGCAACCCUUAUCCUUUGUUGCCAGCGGUCCGGCCGGGAACUCAAAGGAGACUGCCAGUGAUAAACUGGAGGAAGGUGGGGAUGACGUCAAGUCAUCAUGGCCCUUACGACCAGGGCUACACACGUGCUACAAUGGCGCAUACAAAGAGAAGCGACCUCGCGAGAGCAAGCGGACCUCAUAAAGUGCGUCGUAGUCCGGAUUGGAGUCUGCAACUCGACUCCAUGAAGUCGGAAUCGCUAGUAAUCGUGGAUCAGAAUGCCACGGUGAAUACGUUCCCGGGCCUUGUACACACCGCCCGUCACACCAUGGGAGUGGGUUGCAAAAGAAGUAGGUAGCUUAACCUUCGGGAGGGCGCUUACCACUUUGUGAUUCAUGACUGGGGUGAAGUCGUAACAAGGUAACCGUAGGGGAACCUGCGGUUG